CAAUAGCGUAUAUUAAAGUUGUUGCGGUUAAAAAGCUCGUAGUUGGAUUUCUGCCGAGGACGACCGGUCCGCCCUCUGGGUGUGUAUCUGGUUUGGCCUGGGCAUCUUCUUGGAGAACGUAGCUGCACUUGACUGUGUGGUGCGGUGUCCAGGACUUUUACUUUGAGGAAAUUAGAGUGUUUCAAGCAGGCACACGCCUUGAAUACAUUAGCAUGGAAUAAUAAGAUAGGACCUCGGUUCUAUUUGUUGGUUUCUAGAGCUGAGGUAAUGAUUAAAAGGGAUAGUUGGGGGCAUUCGUAUUUAACAGUCAGAGGUGAAAUUCUUGGAUUUGUUAGAGACGGACUACUGCGAAAGCAUUUGCCAAGGAUGUUUUCAUUGA
rnacentral:rRNA from 1 species